CAGUGAGUUGCUUGCAAGUCACUGAGGCGAUCUCAGGUCUAAGGGACACUUAUACCUAUAUCCCAUCAGAGACAUUCUCGACAGCAGAAUACUCUGGAGUUGGUCACGUUCAAUGAUGAUGUACCAGUACAUCUCAUCUGUAUGCCAUACCAGUGUCUCCACACUCUUUGGUUAAGAGGAUAACCAACCCAUAUGGCCUACAGCGACCUAUGCUCGAUAGAAGCUGUCGUCCUUAUUAACAGCCUAUCA
rnacentral:lncRNA from 1 species